ACCGCUGGAGACGCCGAGAUCAUCUCCUACAUCAUAGCCGGCCUCGACAUCAACUACAACCCCGUGAUCUCGGCUCUGGCUACGCGUGUCGAACCGGUUACGGUUCAGGAGCUGUAUAGUCAGCUCCUGAGCUUCGACG
rnacentral:snoRNA from 1 species